rnacentral:rRNA from 1 species
AACGAACGCUGGCGGCAGGCUUAACACAUGCAAGUCGAACGCCCCGCAAGGGGAGUGGCGCACGGGUGAGUAACGCGUGGGAAUAUGCCCUUCGGUUCGGAAUAACACAGGGAAACUUGUGCUAAUACCGGAUACGAUCUACGGAUGAAAGAUUUAUCGCCGAGGGAGUAGCCCGCGUAGGAUUAGCUAGUUGGUGAGGUAAUGGCUCACCAAGGCGACGAUCCUUAGCUGGUCCGAGAGGAUGAUCAGCCACACUGGGACUGGGACACGGCCCAGACUCCUACGGGAGGCAGCAGUGGGGAAUAUUGGACAAUGGGGGAAACCCUGAUCCGGCCAUGCCGCGUGAGUGAUGGAGGCCUUAGGGUUGUAAAGCUCUUUCGCCAGGGAAGAUAAUGACGGUACCUGGAAAAGAAGCCUCGGCUAACUCCGUGCCAGCCGCCGCCGUAACAC